rnacentral:autocatalytically_spliced_intron from 1 species
AACCGCCGUAUACGCGACCCGUACGUACGGUGGUGUGAGAGGCGCACCCCAUCAGUUAUGACUGGUGGGGCCGUCUACUCGAU